UAAUGCUGCCGCUAAGUCUUUUUGCCACUCGGUGGGCAUGACCUCGGCGAGUUCCAGCUAUUGUGACGUUACAAUGUGACAUUAAAAUAUAUACUUACACUGUUUCAUAUUAUAUUAAAAGAACCAUCCAGUAAGAGUCAUUUGUUCGUGACUGGGCUAUGUGCACUGGUUGCAUUGUAUGUUUUUGAUUCACUAAAAGGAACCAGUUCAUAAGAGUCAUUUGUUCGGACUACACUGGAUGCGCUGUAAGAGAAAGACGCGAUCUCUUGACAUUAUUUUGCGGAACAUGGUCUUUACAUCUAAUCACAUUUAAGUGGGGCUGCUGUAAAUUGGUCCAGGAAACUGCUUAUAUUUAUAUUUUAUACAUUGGGAUACUGAUGCUGGGGUGGCUUUUUCUUAGGGUGACAGUUGCCACCAUUCAACUGUCACCAACCGUGAUUUAUCUGUAGAGCUAGUCCCACUUUAAUAAAAAAAAAAAAAAAAUUAUAUCGUUGUUAUGGUGUAUUAAAUUACUGUUUCAUUAUGUAUUUAUGACAUAGCAGUCAGCGUAACAUUAACUUGCUUAUUAUCAAACAUGGCUACUUUUAUUAUUUACUAUGGGAAGCCAAACAACUCAAAAGCUGGUCCAAACUUAUGGCGGCAAAUCCGCGCCAAAAAUCAGAGCGUGUUAUUAAUGCUCGCAUGCACGGUAAAUUACAACCACGAGAGGAAAAUAAAUGUUCAUGUGCAGAAAGAGGAGAACUCACAUUCUAAAAAAAAGUAUGCUCUGCUCACACAAACUUUUUCUUUUUGUCAGCAGCAGAGCCCUUGAGAGAGAGAGAGAGAGAGAGAGAGAGAGAGUUGCAUAAAUAAGCUUUUUUCACACAAAUCGGAAACUACUUCACCACGGUAUAACAUUAUUUUUGGCACGGCAUGAACUUUUAUAUGACUGCGUUCCAUGCAGAGUACACAUGAGGAGAUUCUUCACUACUUCUGUCUCUUGACCCUGCCACAACAGGAUGUUAACCAAACUGUUGGAGAGCACUCUACAACUAAAGAAUCAAGCAUGAGCAAGGGCUAUGAAUUCUCUGAGGAAUUUGUACACAAUUAUCAAGGUAAGUUGCCAGCUAGCUGGCGCUAGCAUUUGCAACAGUAUGAAUGCUAACAAUUUUGUAUGUGUUCAGUCUCAAAUGUUGUUAAUCGCAAGGUGGUAGUGAGAGCUAGGUGUUACCGAUCAAUGAAGAAUUCCUUUAGUUUCACAUGUUGUGAAGUUAUGACCUUUUUCUUUCCUUCUGCGGUUCCAGAGUUUCACUAUGUCUUGCUUUUACUGCGGUUUGCAACUUUCAUUUAGCAACACUUAAUUUAGCUCAUAGCAUAAAAUUACAAUUCUCUAGCAAACUGUUGUCUUUUCAAACGGAUGACAUUUGAGUCGUAAGAGGAUGUUUGUGUUUCUGCCUAUAUGUUUAGCUGUGCAGCUGGUAAUGGGUUGUGUAACCAUCUGACAAUUCUUAUGUAUCAGACAGCCCACUAUGUGCAGCUAAAUUUACAUUCUGUCCCACCACCGCUGGACUGCACGAUUGAGCCACAGUGAUGGCAUCGUCCAAGCAUACAGGGGAGUCUGUUCAGAGGCACUGAGUGAACUUUGUGCUGAAACCAAAAUCACUUGGGACGACUAGAUUAAAGUCUACCCCAUACAAGGCUUACAUAGGCUCCCUUCUAGAUCCUCAUGUCUUGGCUUCUGGAGCAAAACUCCGUCAGAUCAAUCCCCAGCCUUUGCUGGCACACAUACUAGAGGGCAUGUCAAAAAUAGAGUUGGUCCCAACACAAUUUGAUCCCAUACCUCGUGGCAGUCCACUAUCCUACCUAUGGCUGCAGAUGUUCCUGUUGUAAAUUUCCUCUGCUGACAGCAUUGCUCAGGUUCCAUUCAUGAAAACCCAAAGAACCAAGCCAAACUCAGAGACCCAUAUGUACUAUUACCAGGUUCAAGGCCUGCUUGCAGUGACUGGUCUACAGUCGUGUGACUUUGUGACUGACACAAAAUUAGAUCUCACACUACAGAGGAUUUGGCGAGAUGAUGCCUUUGUAGUGUUCAUGAAAGACAAGCUAAACAUGUAUUACUUCAAUGUUUACAUGGAUAUGUAUCUGUCAAUGGUAUGAAUUAAGUUUCUGUUCAUACUGCAGUACAUGAACAUUUGAUGUUUUAUUUUUAUUAUUGUAUUAAGUAUAUUGUGUUAAUUGCUAUUAAACAUAUGUAAAUAUAGAAAAGCCAAGGUGAAUGAAUAAUUAGAUUUUGUAUUAGAUAUUUUGUAAUAUAGAUGUUAGAUAUAUUGUAUUAGCUAGAUAUUUCAUAUGUACAAAUGUUUACAAAAUGUGUAUAUAUUUGCAUUGAAUACAUUGUAGUUUAUUUUACAAAUGUACUCCCAGGGGAUGCUUGUAGUGCAGAUCUACAAUUUCAAGUUCUAAUUUUGUGAAAUAACAACUGGACGCCAGAAUUGAGGUUUGUCACAUUUAUUUUUAUCAUGAAUUAUUAUUAAAAAG